GGAGUUAGCCGGUGCUUCUUCUGUGAGUGAUGUCCUUCCUGCCGGCUAUUAACCCGCAGGCCUUCUUCCUCACUGAAAGUGCUUUACAACCCGAAGGCCUUCUUCACACACGCGGCAUGGCUGGAUCAGGGUUGCCCCCAUUGUCCAAUAUUCCCCACUGCUGCCUCCCGUAGGAGUCUGGGCCGUGUCUCAGUCCCAGUGUGGCUGAUCAUCCUCUCAGACCAGCUACGGAUCGUCGCCUUGGUGAGCCGUUACCUCACCAACCAGCUAAUCCGACAUAGGCUCAUCCGAUAGCGCGAGGCCCGAAGGUCCCCCGCUUUCCCCCGUAGGGCGUAUGCGGUAUUAGCCUGGGUUUCCCCAGGUUAUCCCCCACUACCGGGCAGAUUCCUAUGCAUUACUCACCCGUCCGCCGCUCGCCACCAGGGAGCAAGCUCCCCGUGCUGCCGCUCGACUUGCAUGUGUUAGGCCUGCCGCCAGCGUUCAAUCUGAGCCAGAUCAACUAACUGACUCGUAGCGGGCGUCGGCGACGGACGGCGACUAG
rnacentral:rRNA from 1 species